rnacentral:rRNA from 1 species
CAGUCGUACCGGCGGGUAAUCAGCCUUUUGGGUAUGAUUAUGUGGGGCGUGAGGAGCUAAUCGCCUUCAUCUUCGCAUAUUCGUGCACUUUGGGUGUACUUGCUCGUGUGGUAGGUUAACAUCAAUUUUGAUCAUCAUAAAAUGAUUGGAGGAAUGUAGCUUCGAUCUCGUAUUGAAGUUGUUAUAGACUUCUGGUAGAUGGUGACGGGUUGGGAUUGGAGGAUUGCAACGGGAUACCCGUUCGGGGCUACCCGGUCUGAUCU